rnacentral:rRNA from 1 species
UACGGGGGGUGCGAGCGUUGUCCGGAAUCACUGGGCGUAAAGGGCGCGUAGGUGGUUUGAUAAGGGUGUGGUGAAAGUCCGGGGCUCAACCCCGGGUCGGCCGUGCGGACUGGCGAGCUGGAGCACUGUAGAGGCGGGUGGAAUUCCGGGUGUAGCGGUGGAAUGCGUAGAGAUCCGGAAGAACACCGGUGGCGAAGGCGGCCCGCUGGGCAGUGGCUGACGCUGAGGCGCGACAGCGUGGGGAGCAAACAGG